rnacentral:rRNA from 1 species
UACGGGGGGGGCAAGCGUUGUUCGGAAUUACUGGGCGUAAAGGCUCGUAGGCGGCCAACUAAGUCAGACGUGAAAUCCCUCGGCUUAACCGGGGAACUGCGUCUGAUACUGGAUGGCUUGAGUUUGGGAGAGGGAUGCGGAAUUCCUGGUGUAGCGGUGAAAUGCGCAGAUAUCAGGAGGAACACCGGUGGCGAAAGGCGGGUCU